rnacentral:misc_RNA from 1 species
CCAAUAGCGUAUAUUAAAGUUGCUGCAGUUAAAAAGCUCGUAGUUGAAUUUCGGGACUAAUAUGUCGGUCGUGCCUCGGUACGUACUGGUAUUUUUGGUUUCUCCCUUCUGACGAACCUUGAUGUCAUUAAUUUGGUGUCUUGGGAAAUCAGGACUGUUACUUUGAAAAAAUUAGAGUGUUUAAAGCAGGCUCACGCUUGAAUACAUUAGCAUGGAAUAAUGAAAUAGGACGUUUGAUUCUAUUUUGUUGGUUUCUAGGAUUGACGUAAUGAUUAAUAGGGAUAGUUGGGGGCAUUAGUAUUCAAUUGUCAGAGGUGAAAUUCUUGGAUUUAUUGAAGACUAACUACUGCGAAAGCAUUUGCCAAGGAUGUUUUCAUUAAUCAAGAACGAAAGUUAGGGGAUCGAAGACGAUCAGAUACCGUCGUAGUCUUAACCAUAAACUAUGCCGACUAGGGAUCGGAUGAUGUUAAUUUUUUAAUGACUCAUUCGGCGCCUUACA